rnacentral:rRNA from 1 species
AAAACUUUCAACAACGGAUCUCUUGGUUCUGGCAUCGAUGAAGAACGCAGCGAAAUGCGAUAAGUAAUGUGAAUUGCAGAAUUCAGUGAAUCAUCGAAUCUUUGAACGCACAUUGCGCCCCUUGGUAUUCCUUGGGGCACACCUGUUCGAGCGUCAUUAC